AUUGAACGCUGGCGGCAUGCCUUACACAUGCAAGUCGAACGGCAGCACGGGAGCAAUCCUGGUGGCGAGUGGCGAACGGGUGAGUAAAGUAUCGGAACGUGCCCAGUCGUGGGGGAUAACGUAGCGAAAGUUACGCUAAUACCGCAUACGAUCUAUGGAUGAAAGCGGGGGAUCGCAAGACCUCGCGCGAUUGGAGCGGCCGAUAUCAGAUUAGGUAGUUGGUGGGGUAAAGGCUCACCAAGCCGACGAUCUGUAGCUGGUCUGAGAGGACGACCAGCCACACUGGGACUGAGACACGGCCCAGACUCCUACGGGAGGCAGCAGUGGGGAAUUUUGGACAAUGGGCGCAAGCCUGAUCCAGCCAUGCCGCGCGCAGGAUGAAGGCCUUCGGGUUGUAAACUGCUUUUGUACGGAACGAAAAGGUUUGACUUAAUACGUUGGACUCAUGACGGUACCGUAAGAAUAAGCACCGGCUAACUACGUGCCAGCAGCCGCCGUAACAC
rnacentral:rRNA from 1 species